rnacentral:rRNA from 1 species
ACAAGCGGUGGAGCAUGUGGUUUAAUUCGAUGGUACGCGAGGAACCUUACCUGGGUUUGACAUAUAGGUUGUAGGGAACUGAAAGGACGACCCCUCGGGAGCCUAUACAGGUGUUGCAUUGGCUGUCGUCAGCUCGUGUCGUGAGAUGUUCGGUUAAGUCCGCUAACGAGCGCAACCCUCGUCGUAUGUUAUAUGUGUCAUACGAGACUGCCGGUAAAAGCCGGAGGAAGGUGAGGAUGAUGUCAAGUCAGCAUGACCUUUAUAUCCAGGGCUACACACACGCUACAAUGGUCUGUACAAUGGGUAGCCAAGCCGCGAGGCGGAGCCAAUCCUGAAAGCAGGCCUCAGUUCAGAUUGCAGUCUGCAACUCGACUGCAUGAAGCCGGAGUUGCUAGUAACCGCAGGUCAGCAAUACUGCGGUGAAUACGUUCCCGGGUCUU